AAGGAAACUGGUUUAAUAGUGUUAGGUACCAGAUUGUUGUUAUGAAAAACUUCUGACUUAGACUGUAAACAGUAACGGUCAACAUAUACAAAUGAAAUGCCUUUCAGAUCACUAUUAAGAUAUUUGCUGAAUAAUGAACAAAUGAUUCAAAAAUUAGCUGAUAGCAAGCCAGUAAGAAGAGCAGCCCAACUUACAGUGUUUGUAAGUCAGAAAGCAAAGGAAUCAGGGUUUGACAGUGUGAGUAAAUUUUCAGAGGGAUUUAAACAAGGCGAGACAAAAGCAUCAAAACCAGUUAGAAGAAGGAAAUGAUAACAGCUUUGAGAAUAAUGCUGUAUGGACAUAUUGCAUUUGCUAAAGACAUAAACUCCAUUAAAUAAUUUAUAUCCUCAGAGCCCAACAUCCCUUUUGAACACAAUUAUUUUAUACAAUGUACUUUUAAUGAUGAUCAUGAUGCCAAACUAUGACUAUUUAUUUUAGCAUUAUUUCUGUUGAACUGUGAUUUUCAAUAAAGGUAUUGAUGGAG